rnacentral:rRNA from 1 species
GUGAGGAAUUUUGCGCAAUGGGGGCAACCCUGACGCAGCAACGCCGCGUGAGUGAUGAAGGCCUUCGGGUCGUAAAGCUCUGUCAAGUGGGAAGAACGUGUCAUAUGUGAACAGCGUAUGAUAUUGACGGUACCACUGAAGGAAGCACCGGCUAACUCCGUGCCAGCAGCCGCGGUAAUACGGAGGGUGCAAGCGUUAUUCGGAUUUACUGGGCGUAAAGGGCGCGUAGGCGGUUGAUCAAGUCAGAUGUGAAAGCCCGGGGCUCAACCCCGGAAGUGCAUCUGAAACUGGUCGGCUUGAGUAUGGUAGAGGGAAGUGGAAUUCCUGGUGUAGCGGUGAAAUGCGUAGAUAUCAGGAGGAACACCGGUGGCGAAGGCGACUUCCUGGACCAAAACUGACGCUGAGGCGCGAAGGUGUGGGGAGCAAACAGGAUUAGAUACCCUUGUAGUCC